GAACUGAAGAGUUUGAUCCUGGCUCAGAUUGAACGCUGGCGGCAUGCCUAACACAUGCAAGUCGAACGGAAACGAUGGAGAGCUUGCUCUCCAGGCGUCGAGUGGCGGACGGGUGAGUAAUACAUAGGAAUCUGCCCAUGUAGUGGGGGACAACCUGGUGAAAACCAGGCUAAUACCGCAUGAGCCCUUCGGGGGAAAGCAGGGGAUCUUCGGACCUUGCGCUAUUGGAUGAGCCUAUGUCGGAUUAGCUAGUUGGUGGGGUAAUGGCCCACCAAGGCGACGAUCCGUAGCUGGUCUGAGAGGACGAUCAGCCACACUGGGACUGAGACACGGCCCAGACUCCUACGGGAGGCAGCAGUGGGGAAUAUUGGACAAUGGGCGCAAGCCUGAUCCAGC
rnacentral:rRNA from 1 species